rnacentral:rRNA from 1 species
UUUAUCCUACGGGAGGCAGCAGUAGGGAAUCUUCCACAAUGGGCGAAAGCCUGAUGGAGCAACGCCGCGUGGGUGAAGAAGGUCUUCGGAUCGUAAAACCCUGUUGUUAGAGAAGAAAGUGCGUGAGAGUAACUGUUCACGUUUCGACGGUAUCUAACCAGAAAGCCACGGCUAACUACGUGCCAGCAGCCGCGGUAAUACGUAGGCGGCAAGCGUUAUCCGGAUUUAUUGGGCGUAAAGGGAACGCAGGCGGUUUUUUAAGACUUAUG